rnacentral:rRNA from 1 species
CGGGUUUCUACAUGCGAGACGGGUAGCCGGCCUGAGAGGGCGACCGGCCACACUGGGACUGAGACACGGCCCAGACUCCUACGGGAGGCAGCAGUGGGGAAUAUUGCACAAUGGGCGAAAGCCUGAUGCAGCGACGCCGCGUGAGGGAUGACGGCCUUCGGGUUGUAAACCUCUUUCAGCAGGGAAGAAGCGAAAGUGACGGUACCUGCAGAAGAAGCGCCGGCUAACUACGUGCCAGCAGCCGCGGUAAUACGUAGGGCGCAAGCGUUGUCCGGAAUUAUUGGGCGUAAAGAGCUCGUAGGCGGCUUGUCACGUCGGAUGUGAAAGCCCGGGGCUUAACCCCGGGUCUGCAUUCGAUACGGGCUAGCUAGAGUGUGGUAGGGGAGAUCGGAAUUCCUGGUGUAGCGGUGAAAUGCGCAGAUAUCAGGAGGAACACCGGUGGCGAAGGCGGAUCUCUGGGCCAUUACUGACGCUGAGGAGCGAAAGCGUGGGGAGCGAACAGGAUUAGAUACCCUGGUAGUCCACGCCGUAACGUUGGGAACUAGGUGUUGGCGACAUUCCACGUCGUCGGUGCCGCAGCUAACGCAUUAAGUUCCCCGCAGGGGGGAUGAUACGAA